UCUCUCGUACGUCUUACAUCUACUUUUUUUUGGUCUUACAUCUACUUGCUCUCUUCAGACAAGAAGAAGAAGAGUUAUCAGUUAACAAUAACAUCAUGAGUGUUCUACAUCUUCUUACUCUCUUUCUGCUCGUAGCUGUUUCAGGAGCAAAGUUCUCAGGCCGACCAGGAGUCAACUACGGCCAGCUAGGAGACAACCUCCCGUCUCCGUCAGACUCAGUCAAACUCAUCCAAUCCCUAAACGCGAAACGCGUCAAGCUCUACGACGCCAACCCAGCCAUCCUCGCCGCAUUAAACGCCACCGACAUCACCGUCUCCGUCAUGGUCCCUAACGAGCUCCUCGUCAACAUCUCAAAAUCCUCAUCCCUCUCCGACGAGUGGAUCCGAUCCAACAUCCUCCCGUUUCACCCCACCACCAAGAUCCGUUACCUCCUCGUCGGCAACGAGAUCCUCUCCUCCACGGACUCCGAGCUCAAAUCAGCUCUCGUUCCCGCAAUGCGCAAGAUCCAACGGUCUUUGAAGAAACUCGGCGUCAAGAAAGUCAAAGUGGGGACCACGCUCGCCGUCGACGUUCUCGAGACCUCGUUUCCUCCUUCGAGCGGCGAGUUCCGUUCGGAUAUCUCCGGUUCGGUUAUGAAACCGAUGCUACAGUUCCUAAACCGGACCAAAUCGUUUUUAUUCGUAGACGUAUACCCGUACUUCCCAUGGGCCCAAGAUCCGGCCCAUGUAGAUCUCGCUUACGCGCUUUUCGAAUCCACCAACGUCACCGUAACGGAUCCCGCCACGAAUCUCACCUACCACAACCUCUUCGACCAAAUGAUCGACGCUUUCGUCUUCGCCACGUCACGCCUCGGGUACCCGGAUCUUCGGAUCUGGGUCGCGGAAACGGGCUGGCCCAACAACGGAGACUACGACCAGAUCGGAGCCAACGUCUACAACGCCGCCACUUACAACCGCAACGUCGUCAAAAAACUCUCCGCCGUGCCUCCGGUGGGAACUCCGGCGCGGCCCGGGAAGGUCCUCCCGUCGUUCAUCUUCGCUUUGUUCAACGAGAAUCAGAAAACGGGUCCGGGUACGGAGCGGCAUUUCGGACUCUUGCACCCGAACGGGUCUCGGGUCUACGAGAUUGAGUUGUCGGGGGAGACGACGGAGUUUAAAGAGAAGCUGCCGGCGCCGGAGAACAAUGAGGUGUACAAAGGGAAGAUAUGGUGCGUGGUGGCUAAAGGAGCGAACUGGACUCAGCUUGGUGAAGCUCUAUCGUACGCUUGCUCACAGGGGAAUAAUACUUGCGACCCGAUUAAAUCCGGAGGUCCGUGUCAUAAACCGGAUUUAACCGUGUUGCAUGCUAGCUACGCGUUUAGCUCUUAUUGGGCUAGCUUUCGUAAGACCGGUGGGACUUGCUCGUUUAACGGCCUUGCCACUCAAACCAUUAAAGAUCCAAGCUUUGGACGUUGCGAGUUUCCGAGCGUGACACUGUGACGACUAACGAGUUACGACAGUGUCGAGAAGACAUAGGACUAGGAGGAAAGACCGCGCACGAUGUUACUGCUUGAUUAGUAGAUUCGUCACGUGAAACCGCUCGAUGUUACGGCUUGAUUACUAGAAACGGCACGUGAUUACGGUCGGAUGUUUUUUUUUUUUGAUCGACGGUCGGAUGUUUUUAAUGUGUUGUUUAUUUGAUUUGUUCCCCCCGCGAAUAAUAAAAACUCAUGAGUUAGUAGUAAUAAAUUCGUUUCUUCUGGUUACGUGACCGAUUCCUUACGUCUAAUUAAUACUCGUAUUUGUCUUAAUAAGAUUAGAAGUUAAUAGUACAAAGUAGUGUUGAAUAUUGAUGAGAAUAUACCUUUUGUAAAAUGUAAAUUGUAAUCACAGAGAAUCGGAUGAAGUUAAUAGUACAAAGUAGUGUUGAAUGUUGAUGAGAAUAUACCUUUUCUAAAAUGUAAAUUGUAAUCACAGAGAAUCGGAUGCCAUUAUGAUUCUCUAGGGAAUAUGGUUUAUCUAGGGAAUAUGAUUCCAUAACACUUUUCACUUUGCAACAAAAAGUCAACCCGUGAACUUUGCGUCUUUGCUUUAACUUUUGCAAAAAGAUGGAAGUAUUGUAUUUGUAAGUACUAAGUAGCUUAUAAAUUCACAGCCUUUUUUUUACUACAUAUAAAUUCACUUCUUCAUAUACAAAACGAGACAAAAAAAACCCAGACUAAAUGAAAACUUGAAGGUAAAAUACAGCCUCUGCAGUGUUUGCUAUGAUAUCUCGAGUGAAUAUGGUUAUAAUUGGAGCUCACGCAGUGAUGGCUAAUGAUGGGGUUAUAGGACCUGUUGGAGUCAACAUGGCAGCAAAAAAAGCAUGCAGUCCCAUUUGUGGUUCUAGCUGGUAGUCAUAAGCUAUGUCCACUCUAUCCUCCCAAUCCGGAGGUAUUACUAAACGAGCUGAGAUCUCCAUCUGAACUUUUAGAUUUUGGUGAAUUCUCUGAUUGCCUUGAUUUUGGAUUGGGUUCCGGGUCUCCUCUUCUUCAAGUUGUCAACCCAACAUUCGACUCUGUCGGUCCCACCAAACCAUAGGGGAGGACACAACCCACAUUACAUGUACCGUCUUAUCGCUCAUUAAUAGUCUGCUGGUGUAGCAAUAUAUAAAGGACUAGUUUUUGGGUCUCUUGGCCACACAACACUCACUUGGUCGGCCAUUCAUAUAUAUGUACAUUGCACAAAACAGUUGCUCAAGGGUUGCGAAUGUCAUGAGAAAGAGAAACAUCUUUUGCGUUUGUGAAAACUGGUCAGGGGCAAGUUUGUUUUUUUGCCGUGUUUAGGGAGUUGAUUAUUACUUGAUGAACUUUUCUUGUCAAUUUACAAGAGUUUACUACCGAGGGUUGAAAUCUUAUAAUUCAAAGUUGGGUGUUAUUAAAGUUUGUAAAGUACUCUUUUAAGUCAUGUCCGGAAACCGUGCAAGUCUUGGUGAUUUAAGAUUCCAAGGAGGAAGGGGAUAAAGUCAUAAAGAGAAUGUUAGCUGAGCUGAAAUGGAGUUGUACAGAAACUAAAGUAUUGCCUUACGUUGACUUGUCAUGGAUUGAGAUAAAAGGUGAAAAACAGUUUUGAAGACUUGUCAAAGUCAAAGUUGCGCCAAUAGAUAAUGGGCUUGGCCCAAAUAUUACUUCAAAACCCGAAAAGCCCUUUCUUGUUCUAUUUCUCGUUAUAAAUACCAUUUGUCGAUGUUCAGACCAAAGUUUCUUUCUUUGGUCGGGGUUUUUAGAGAGAGAAAGAGAGAGAGAGAGAGAGGAGUCUUCUCUGUCUUCAAGAAGAAACCCAUAUACAAAAUAAUACCCCGUAAUUAAAAAAAAAAGAGAGAGAGAGAGAGAGCAUUACAGAUAUAUACAGAAAGAAAAGGGAUUGUCCCUCGGAGAUUAAACACUUGUGGCAAAGAGUCUUUGUGAUCGAGAAUAAGUGUGUGUAUCAAUCGGAAAGAGGAAGCUACCUUUUAAGGUUAGCUACAAAUCUCGCCGAGUUAGUUGCUAAUUUUAUAGUGCAUUUAAGGAUCUGUCAAAAGAUAAAGGAGGAUUUGAAGUGGCCUUUUGGUUUGUUGGUGAACCAAGUUUUGGAGCUUCUAAGUGAUUUUUGUAUUGAAUAUGAUGAGCUAAAAGGUCGAGAAAGUAACAAGAGUGGUUGAGAGUAGACCACUUUAACGGGGGCUUGAGGGAGGGGAGGGGAGGGGAGGGGGUAAAAGUGCCAUGUCUCGUUGCUUCCCGUUUCCACCUCCAGGAUAUGAGAAGAAGAUUAGCACCGAUGAAGCUCACUCUUUGAUUAAGG